GCGGUAAGGCAACGGACUUUGACUCCGUCACUCGUUGGUUCGAAUCCAGCUAGCCCAG
rnacentral:tRNA from 1 species